rnacentral:rRNA from 1 species
GAUGAACGCUGGCGGCGUGCCUAAUACAUGCAAGUCGAGCGAACAGACGAGGAGCUUGCUCCUCUGACGUUAGCGGCGGACGGGUGAGUAACACGUGGAUAACCUACCUAUAAGACUGGGAUAACUGCGGGAAACCGGAGCUAAUACCGGAUAAUAUAUUGAACCGCAUGGUUCAAUAGUGAAAGACGGUUUUGCUGUCACUUAUAGAUGGAUCCGCGCCGCAUUAGCUAGUUGGUAAGGUAACGGCUUACCAAGGCAACGAUGCGUAGCCGACCUGAGAGGGUGAUCGGCCACACUGGAACUGAGACACGGUCCAGACUCCUACGGGAGGCAGCAGUAGGGAAUCUUCCGCAAUGGGCGAAAGCCUGACGGAGCAACGCCGCGUGAGUGAUGAAGGUCUUCGGAUCGUAAAACUCUGUUAUUAGGGAAGAACAAUUGUGUAAGUAACUAUGCACGUCUUGACGGUACCUAAUCAGAAAGCCACGGCUAACUACGUG